rnacentral:pre_miRNA from 1 species
GGAAACUUGGAAACUACCGUUGGAUCGAGAAUUGGAUCUCUGAGAUUCGUUCACGUCACCAUGAGUUAAAAUUUAACUCGCAGAUUCACUCAUGAGUUAAAAUGGGAGUUAAAAUUUAACUCAUGGUAACAUGGACGAAUCUCGGACGUCCAUUUUUCGAUCCAACGGUAGUUUCCAAGUUUCC